UUACACCCUCAUGUAAAUUAGGGCUGCACGAUAUUGGAAAUUAGUGCGAUAUGCGAUAUGGAUGUCUAGUAUUGCGAUAACGAUAUUGUCGCGAUAUUUUUUCUUUUUACCUAAAAAUGCAAUAUACAUGACCAAUAAGAAAAAAUAUCUAUAAAAUUUAUACAAACAACAAAUAUGCAUUUCAAAUAUUGCAUUUAUUUACAUUUUUUUUUUUAAUCUUUAACACUUACCAAUUGCCAGAUGCAGGCGAUGGCCAAAGCACUGCACUCUGAACCAGUUGUUGACCUCGGCAGCCUUCACCACGUUUGCUCCGUUAUCUGUUGUGAUGGCCACUUGUUUGUGUGGCUGUGUAGGUUUGUCGUGUUUCCUCUCGACGUAGCCACUAUUUUUCAGCAUGACUUGCAAAGAACUUGUGUCUGUGAUUCGUCCUGUGUGGAAAAACCGAAGUAGUCCCAAAUUCCGGCGGUGUAGUGACUUUUAGGAACAAGUUGCUCUCUGUUUUCGUCUCCAUUCAUCUCUUCCUUCCCCGCCAUGCUUGUCUUCCUUCUGUGUGUGUACGGGCUCACUGCUCCACUGAGAGCA